rnacentral:other from 1 species
UAUCCCCUGCGAUGUGCGUGAUUAACAUUCGUUUUUUGAGCCAACACCUUGGAACCGGGGACCUUUCCUUGCUUGCGGUGAGCAUGUUCGCCCCUACCCCGCUAUGGCGGGAGGCGAAAAGCCUGAAGCAGCAAUAGUAGGCGCCCACUUUUCAAAAAGGUUCAAAAAGGUGGUUAACACGGCAUAGGCGGGGGUUUU